rnacentral:tRNA from 1 species
GGCAGUUUAGAUUAAUUGGUAGAGUACUCAGCCGGUAUUUGGGAGGUGCGGGUUCGAGUCCCGUGGUUGUCU